ACCAGACAGAGCAGACCAUUACCAGAGCUGAAGUUCAGAAGAGUGUCACGGAGAAGCACUUCCCAAAGGGAUCCCUACAAGAGGACGCGGUCCGGGCCAGAGGGAAGGGUGGCUUCGGAGGCCAUGGGACAGAAGACAAGGAAGAGAACCAUGAAAGACUGUGAGCUUCCAGAGAGCAGAGGCCCUGCUACGCAGUUUACCAUUUAAUCCUAAGGGACAACUACGAUGCCUGGCACAGAGGAAGUCCUCAAGCACAGGAAGAUGAUCCAAAAGCAGCGGUGCCCACAUUCAAGACGCCUUCAUCCUACAUCUGUCCCAGUCACGCCCGAGUCAAAGGAGACUGCGCUCUCAUGAUGCGGUUCUAUAGAACCCGAGGAGGAAGUUGUGUCGGGGCGGGGACUCAGCGCGGUCUUCCCCUGAUUUCUCCUUGUUAUCCACCAUUCCACCUGACUCGGCUCCACCUCCCUCUGAGGAUAACAGUGGUUAUCUCUCAACUAACGGCAAAGAGAUUCCGAUUAAACUGCAAAUAAAGUGACAUAAUUGGU